GAGAAGACGCCGAGUUAAACACUUCCACUUGUUGGCGGCAUCUGAGGCACAGAGACCGGAGAGAGUCUCAGCACGCAGGGCGGUAUGAAGAGUGACUUGGAGAUAGUCACCUGCGCUUACGUUAGAAGAUGUGAACACGUUAUCAGUUGUCAGCACAGUAGCCCCAAAGCAGGGGAGGAGUGUCAAGGACUGCUCCAGAAAUUAGACGGUGCCAACUGCGCAUCUCAAGGCAGAGUAAUAGCAGCUCAGUUUGCCUCCAUUUUGUAAAUGAAGAAGUCAGAACGCUUUACUCCCAGCUAAACCAAGUCAAGCCCAGAGAAUUUGCUGAGCACAGAGAGCCUGGCAGGCCCUCCCUGGUCUUCAAAGACCUCGUAGACAGCCAGGAGAGUCGCAGGAGUCCCACCCUUGUCUCGGAAUGACUGUGGCAAAGCUUCCUGCAGCUUAAGAGGAAGGCUCGAUCGAAGAAGUUAACACCAGGCAAUCAUUUCAGAAACAAGACCGAGGAAGUCAUGCACUUCGUGAAGCUGUCA
rnacentral:lncRNA from 1 species